UACAGAGGUCCCGAGCGUUGUUCGGAUUCACUGGGCGUAAAGGGUGCGUAGGUGGCAUAGAAAGUUUGAUGUGAAAGCCCAGGGCUCAACCCUGGAACUGCCUUUGAAACUGGAGGACUUGAGUACGGGAGAGGUGAGUGGAAUUCCGAGUGUAGAGGUGAAAUUCGUAGAUAUUCGCAAGAACACCAGUGGCGAAGGCGGCUCACUGGCCCGGUACUGACGCUGAGGUGCGAAAGCGUGGGGAGCAAACAGGG
rnacentral:rRNA from 1 species